UGCAGCUGGACCUGCUCGGAGCAGCAGAGCUCCUGUCACAGCCUGCAGCACUGCUCAGCUGCAGCUGGCAGGAGAGAGCAGUGAGUGAGGCACCGAGACACACACUGCUCUGCACACCUCUGCCUGGGCACUAACUCUGAUCUUGCAGAACAGUGCUGCUUUGGCUUGCAUCUAGGAUCAAACUCCAAGUAGGAAAAAGGAGAAUACUGGUAUCACACAAAUUGCCAUAUGCUCUGGGAUGACACUGCUUGAGCAGGGAGGUUGGAGCAGAUGAUCCAUUGUGGUCCCUUCCAACCUGACCCAUUCUGCGAUUCUGAGCCUGGGUGCAGUAUAAACAGUGGCAUUAACAUUACUCCAAAAUACCUCAUUCCUGUGGACAGAACUUUUAAGUGGAAGUCCUUUGUCAAGGCUUUAUCACAGAAUGAAGUUUCUCUUACAUGUCUGCUCUGGUCCUCACCUCCUGUGACUUGUGUUCCAUAAUAUGUUACUAGUUUGUACCUCAUAGGUUGUCAUCUGCAUACUCUGUCUUAACCAAUUCAAUUUACAUGGCACAUCAAUAUUAAAAAUUCACUUACAUUACUAAAAAUUCA